AGCGGCAGGCCUAACACAUGACAAGUCGAGGGGUAACAGGGUAGUGCUUGCACUCCGCUGACGACCGGCGCACGGGUGCGCACCGCGUAUGGAACCUACCUUUUGCAGGGGAAUAGCCCAGGGAAACUUGGAUUAAUGCCCCGUAGUAUCGCGACACUGCAUGGUGUUGUGAUUAUAGUCUUCGGGCGGCAAAAGAUGGCCAUGCGUCCCAUUAGUUAGAUGGUAAGGUAACGGCUUACCAUGACUACGAUGGGUAGGGGCCCUGAGAGGGGGAUCCCCCACACUGGUACUGAGACACGGACCAGACUCCUACGGGAGGCAGCAGUGAGGAAUAUUGGACAAUGGGCGGGAGCCUGAUCCAGCCAUGCCGCGUGCAGGAAGACGGCCCUAUGGGUUGUAAACUGCUUUUAUACGGGAAGAAAAACAGCUACGUGUAGUUGACUGACGGUACCGUAAGAAUAAGGACCGGCUAACUCCGUGCCAGCAACCGCGGUAAUACGGAGGGUCCGAGCGUUAUCCGGAAUUAUUGGAUUUAAAGGGUCCGUA
rnacentral:rRNA from 1 species